rnacentral:lncRNA from 1 species
AUACCUAAGUUAGGGGGGAUAGGUCAUUUUGGAGCUAUGUUAGCCUUAUUAUGUCGUUUUGAGGAUAAUUAGCUAANNAUAUGUCAUUUUGGAGCAAAUUAUGUCAUUUCGGGGAUACUUAGCUAAGUAAAUGUCAUUUUUAUAAAAUAGACAAUUUUGGAGCUAACUAAGCUAAUUAUGUCAUUUAGGUGGAAGCCUAGCUAACUAUAGGUCACUUCGGAUGUAAGUUGGGUAAAAUAGGUCAUUCCGGAGAAAAUUAUGCUUAUUAAGCCAUUUUGUAUCUAGCUAAGCUAAUUAUAGGACAUUUA